GUGCUCGCUUCUGCAGCACACACACUAAAAUUAAAACGAUGCAGAGAAAAUUAGCAUGGCUUCUGCACAAGGAUGACACGCAAAUUUUUGAAGUGUUCCAUAUUUUU